GACGAACGCUGGCGGCGUGCUUAACACAUGCAAGUCGAGCGAUGAAGCUCCUUCGGGAGUGGAUUAGCGGCGGACGGGUGAGUAACACGUGGGUAACCUGCCUCAUAGAGGGGAAUAGCCUUUCGAAAGGAAGAUUAAUACCGCAUAAGAUUGUAGUACCGCAUGGUACAGCAAUUAAAGGAGUAAUCCGCUAUGAGAUGGACCCGCGUCGCAUUAGCUAGUUGGUGAGGUAACGGCUCACCAAGGCGACGAUGCGUAGCCGACCUGAGAGGGUGAUCGGCCACAUUGGGACUGAGACACGGCCCAGACUCCUACGGGAGGCAGCAGUGGGGAAUAUUGCACAAUGGGGGAAACCCUGAUGCAGCAACGCCGCGUGAGUGAUGACGGUCUUCGGAUUGUAAAGCUCUGUCUUUAGGGACGAUAAUGACGGUACCUAAGGAGGAAGCCACGGCUAACUACGUGCCAGCCGCCGCGGUAAAAC
rnacentral:rRNA from 1 species